GACGAGUUCUCGUUGAUGAUCGGUGCUUGCACCGAGAUUCAACAUGGAACGAGUGGCGGACGGGUGAGUAACACGUGGGUAACCUGCCCUUAAGUGGGGGAUAACAUUUGGAAACAGAUGCUAAUACCGCAUAGAUCCAAGAACCGCAUGGUUCUUGGCUGAAAGAUGGCGUAAGCUAUCGCUUUUGGAUGGACCCGCGGCGUAUUAGCUAGUUGGUGAGGUAACGGCUCACCAAGGCGAUGAUACGUAGCCGAACUGAGAGGUUGAUCGGCCACAUUGGGACUGAGACACGGCCCAAACUCCUACGGGAGGCAGCAGUAGGGAAUCUUCCACAAUGGACGCAAGUCUGAUGGAGCAACGCCGCGUGAGUGAAGAAGGCUUUCGGGUCGUAAAACUCUGUUGUUGGAGAAGAAUGGUCGGCAGAGUAACUGUUGUCGGCGUGACGGUAUCCAACCAGAAAGCCACGGCUAACUACGUGCCAGCAGCCGCGGUAAUACGUAGGUGGCAAGCGUUAUCCGGAUUUAUUGGGCGUAAAGCGAGCGCAGGCGGUUUUUUAAGUCUGAUGUGAAAGCCCUCGGCUUAACCGAGGAAGCGCAUCGGAAACUGGGAAACUUGAGUGCAGAAGAGGACAGUGGAACUCCAUGUGUAGCGGUGAAAUGCGUAGAUAUAUGGAAGAACACCAGUGGCGAAGGCGGCUGUCUGGUCUGUAACUGACGCUGAGGCUCGAAAGCAUGGGUAGCGAACAGGAUUAGAUACCCUGGUAGUCCAUGCCGUAUACGAUGAAUGCUAGGUGUUGGAGGGUUUCCGCCCUUCAGUGC
rnacentral:rRNA from 1 species